CCUUCUUGCUUUCCGAUUGGUCUGAGGGAGAAAACGAAUAGUGUCACUUUUUCUUGGCCUUGCCCCUGCUCCCUGGUAAUCCAGUUCUGGAGCUCUCAUUGGUGGCACGUUCCUUCUUAUUUCUCUACUACCUUGGGGGAACUCGGACUAGGUAGUUUCUACGAUUCUACAAAUCUGGGCGGAUAAUGUCAGCGCGCGCUACCGGCGUUCUUGCUAUCCGCUUUUCCGCUCUUCCCAGUAACUUUAGCCUCUGGCAAAUUAGGAACCUCUCCACCAAUCAUCGAAUAAUAAUACUCUUGACAUUAAUUACGUUCUCUUUCAGUUAAAGCAGCGACGUGGACCUCAGGGACACUUUAAAAAGGCUUCGUGCACCUUGCAGAGGCAAAAGCCUGGGACCAGAAGGCAGAAUACUUGACAUCUAGUUCUCGGUCUACUACCAACUUGCUGUGUCAGCCAGUCAACAAACAUUUAUUUAGCGGCCUAUUUUGAUAGCGUUACAGCAACGUUAUGAUAAGUACUGGAGAUAGAAAGGAAGGGAAAAGACAUUUUCUGCCCUGAAGGAGCUUAUUAGAGAGAAGGAACACAAUAUGCAAAAAUAUAUAUAUUCAAAGCAAGCUCUAUACAGAAAAAAAAAAAAAAAGGAAACUAAAUAAGAGGGAAGGCGUUGGAAUUAAGAAGGGCUACGGAAGGUUUCUGGUAGAAGGUGGGAUUUUAGUUGGGAUUUAAAGGAAGCCAGGGAAGUCAGUAGUUGCAGAGAAGGAGAAAGCUUAUUUUAGGAGUGAGAGAGCCAGAGAGGAUGCCUAGGACCUUGAGAUGAAGUGUCUUGUUUAUAGGAAUAGCCAGAAGGCCAAUGUCACUGGAUGGAGUAGUUAGGGAGUAAGGUACAAGAAGACUGGAAACAUAGGAGGGGUUAGAUAGUAAAGGGCUUUGUAUACCAAAAAGCACUUUAUAUUUGCUUCUGGAGUUUUUGACAGUCUAAUGAAGGAGACAGCAUGCGGAGAAUUAAAUACAAACAAGCUAUCAACAAGAUAAACAGAAGAUAAAGAGAAGGAAAGCUUUUUUAGAAUUAAGUAAGAUUGGAAAAGUAAAGGUGAAAUUUUUACUGGGAUUUAAAAGGAGAAAGUUAAAGCCAGGAAGCAAAGGAAAGGAUGGAGAAUUCCAAUCAUGAGGUACCACUAGUGAAAAUGUUUAGAUAAUAGGGAGAUGUAUAAAAUUCACCAUAUCCAAUAGGCAGUUGGAGAUAAGAGAAUGAAGGUCUCAGCAGAGUAGUUAUAACUGGUUAAAUAGAUUUGAGAAUCAUCUACUUAGUGAUCAUAAUUUAAUCCAUGGCAAUUGAGGACAUCACCAAAUGAAAUAGAAUAGAGGAAGAAGAGGAGAGGGUUUAGGACUGAGUACUGUGUGAGAUCUGCAUCAUUAAGGAGAGAUGUCUCCUUCUCUGAUUGGCUGUGCGUAUGACCUCAUAGACCCUAUUUAAGCUGUGGGGAGAGGAAACAGGUCCUCUUUGAGAGUUCAUCAGGACUUCAUUAGGAGUCAGCUGGAGGUCAGCCAGGAGCAGGAUGUGAACAUGUGAAUAAAAGAUCUUGAGCUUGCACAUGGCUGUCUACAAGUACUCUAUCAUGUAUUUAAACAAUCGUUCCUAUGAAAUGAUGGCCAGAGAUCUCUGAAAACCUCAGACGGAGGAUGGAUGAUCUUGUCCACAUCAAGGCGUUUAAAAAACCUGGCAAGCCUAUAAAUUAAGAAGAACUUCAAGGACUACAGAAAAGGAGAUGAGCCUCUUGUUCCUGCCUACCUAUUCCAUCUAUCCAUCUGUGGGUUGUGCUUUUUGACACUUCUCUCAUCUUGUAAAGAGGUGGGAGAAAUAGAUUAACUCUGCAGUACAAUCUGAUAACCUAAGGAGAAAACCUUCAGCAGUGGAUUCCCAUCAGACAUCUCAAAGUUGUCCAUAGAACUGAAGAGGAAAAGAAGGAAGAAGAGGAAUCGUAGCAUAUGAGAAUAGGGAGGAACCUCAACAGUCAAGUCCCAUCCAUUCUUGAAAGGACCACCAGUAAUAAUGUGCUCAAGAAAUAAUUAUCCAGCCUCUACUUGAAGACUUCCAAAGAGAGGGAACUCAUCACCUCUCAAAGAAGUCUAUUAUGUUUUUAGAUAGAUCUAAUUAUUAGAAAGCUUUUCCUGACAUGUAACUUUAAUACAUACUGGACAAUUAAUAAAUAAAUGUUCAAUGAAUUAAAUUACUUUUGAGUAGGAAGUAUUCAAUAUAUACUUAAUUGAUUGUCUUGGCUCAGAUCUCAGUGGGAUUCCAGUUCUCCUCUAUCCCAAGCUCCAACUUUCCUUUUGACUUUCCAUACUUAAAACCCUUGCUUUCAGGGGUUCAAUGCUCUACCAGUCAAAGACAAAGAUGGAGAGCAAUGGCAAUAAUAUAAGAUAUAGAACAAGGGUGCCAUUAAACAUAUGAGGCCAGUUCUAGGAUCAUUAUUCUUUUAAUAUAUUAUUCUGGAACAAAAUGAAUAAUAAUUUUAAAAAAGCUCCUGGUAGUUCUUGUUUUCUCUUUAUAAUUUAAAUAAAUACCACCACCACCCCCCCCUUACAAUUUGUCUCCACUCCCACCAUUCUUCCCUCCCUGGCCCCAGCCCCUCACUCUGGAGAGCAGGCCACUUUCACUACCAAAUUUCACAUUUUCCUAGUCUCUUCUUCCAUUCCUGGCUCUACCCUCAAGCUAGAAAUACUGAUUAUGGGAGAGACUUGAGUGGUGAGAUAUUUAGGGAUUUAGGAGAAAGAAAGCUUCUUUGAUUCCCUUAGUACCUCAGUUCCCCAACCC